UUCAAGCAGUCUUGAAAAUGUGGGGCUCUGAGGUUUUACCAAGUGGACAUCGUAUUUAUGCCUUUAAACCACAAGGGGGUGGCAGUUGCAUCACGUGUUAGGAAUUACAAUCGGGACUGGCUGCUUUGUAAGAAGGACUGGGUGUGGUCUGGCUCUGUCUCGUUUGGGGAAGGAGUCCAUCAUACCGGAGAUCAGCCCAGGUCCUGCGGGAGUGCCACCGAAGUUCCUGUCUCCAGCUUUCCAAAUUGGCACCCUAGAGUCAGACUGAAAGCUUCCUGUGCUAAUGAAAUGAGCUCGGAGAAGAUAUCUUCAUAUUUGAAAAAAAAAAAAAAGACAGUUCAAGAAUGAAUAAGGGGUCCUUUUCAGUAAGGA